rnacentral:rRNA from 1 species
GACGAACGCUGGCGGCGUGCUUAACACAUGCCAGUCGAACGGAAAGGCCCUGCUUUUGUGGGGUGCUCGAGUGGCGAACGGGUGAGUAACACGUGAGUAACCUGCCCUGGACUUUGGGAUAACUUCAGGAAACUGGGGCUAAUACCGGAUAGGAGCUCCUGCUGCAUGGUGGGGGAUGGAAAGUUUCGGCGGUUGGGGAUGGACUCGCGGCUUAUCAGCUUGUUGGUGGGGUAGUGGCUUACCAAGGCUUUGACGGGUAGCCGGCCUGAGAGGGUGACCGGCCACGUUGGGACUGAGAUACGGCCCCGACUCCUACGGGAGGCAGCAGUGGGGAAUAUUGCACAAUGGGCGGAAGCCUGAUGCAGCAACGCCGCGUGCGGGAUGAUGGCCUUCGGUUUGUAUACCGCUUUCGCCUGUGACGAAGCGUGAGUGACGGUAAUGGGUAAAGAAGCACCGGCUAACUACGUG